GGGGGCGUAGCUCAGCUGGGAGAGCGUCGCGUUCGCAAUGCGAAGGUCAGGAGUUCGAUCCUCCUCGUCUCCA
rfam:Rubrivivax sp. SCN 70-15 ABT20_C0137, whole genome shotgun sequence.